AUAGCGACCCUAACAAAAGCAUUGAACAAUUUUGUUUGCAGUAAGUGCUUUUUGUUGGGGUAGCUGUU
rfam:Salmo salar isolate Sally breed double haploid chromosome ssa03, whole genome shotgun sequence.